AGAGUGGCUAAUACCGCAUACGCCCUACGGGGGAAAGGGGGGGAUCGCAAGACCUCUCACUAUUGGAGCGGCCGAUAUCGGAUUAGCUAGUUGGUGGGGUAAAGGCUCACCAAGGCAACGAUCCGUAGCUGGUUUGAGAGGACGACCAGCCACACUGGGACUGAGACACGGCCCAGACUCCUACGGGAGGCAGCAGUGGGGAAUUUUGGACAAUGGGGGAAACCCUGAUCCAGCCAUCCCGCGUGUAUGAUGAAGGCCUUCGGGUUGUAA
rnacentral:rRNA from 1 species